rnacentral:rRNA from 1 species
CAGUAGCCGCGGGAAUACGGAGGGUGCAAGCGUUAUCCGGAUUCACUGGGUUUAAAGGGUGCGUAGGCGGGCAGGUAAGUCAGUGGUGAAAUCUUCGAGCUUAACUCGGAAACUGCCGUUGAUACUAUCUGUCUUGAAUAACGUUGAGGUGAGCGGAAUAUGUCAUGUAGCGGUGAAAUGCUUAGAUAUGACAUAGAACACCGAUUGCGAAGGCAGCUCACUAAACGCUCAUUGACGCUGAGGCACGAAAGCGUGGGGAUCAAACAGGAUUAGAUACCCCUGUAGUCCCUGUCUCUUAUAA